rnacentral:lncRNA from 11 species
CUGGGUUGUACUGGAUAUAAAGAGCUGGUAUGGAGAAUGAUCUUUAAGAGAAAAGUACUUUGGUUCUACUUUGGUUGUGGAUGCUGCUGGUUUUUCCCCGGGUUUGUGAAUUUUUGGUAUCCUGGCUUGUUUCCUGAAUUCCUGGAACCUGGAACCUCUGGACUGGUCAUUGACUAUGAUAUUAAUAAUAUAGAUAGCAAGGUUUAUUCAAGUCUGACCCUACAAUCUGGUGAUAUUUCUGGGUGAUACAUCUGGGAGAACGAAGACAGAGGAGCUGAAGGCCACGCAUGUACUACUCAGCAGAGGACAGCACUUUAUAUGAAGGUACAAAUUGGAGACAGUCCUGCAGAUAAACAUGUUCUCUAUUUGAAGGAAGCUCUAGUCCAAA